rnacentral:lncRNA from 1 species
CCAAACAGCAUUCCUCCUGUAGGGACAAAGUCCGCCUCUUUUGGCCAUGAAAAGAUCAAGGCCCCUUGGAUUCUGCAGAACCACAGCGGCUGAAGAAUCGAGCUGGGACUGGGUGGUUACUAUGGUUUGAGCAAGUUGCUGUGAGUCCCUAGAAAUUGGACUGGUAACUCCUGGUGAGUGCAGAAGGAGGGAGGAGGGCAAAAAUGAAAAGGGAAGGGUGGUCCUCACGGUUCUGCAGUGUCCCGUGGUCCUCAGAGACCAAAGGAAGAGGGGGGGUUCCGGCCUUGGAGAAAGGCAGCUUGAGAGGGCCUGUGGGUGUCUCUGUAUAAAAGGGGGAGAAACCGUUUUAAGUGGGAGUUAUGAACCCAAUAUGGGAGGCCCUCAAGGUGGGCCGCCAAGGGAGUGGUAAGAAUGACCGAUAGGGUCCAGUCCACUUUGCAGAGAGUUAAGGGGAGGUGCCUGUUGGGGGGUUAAAGGUACCAGGGCGCCAGAGACAGAGUGGGAAAGGAAGAGGCAGAACUAGGCUUGGCCAGAACAGCAUCACUGUGUUGCCAAAGAAGGUUCCUCAUGUGUGCAAGAAGGGACCAGAAAAGAUGAGGAGCAAGGGGCAGUGGAGAAUCAGAGGGGCUGAGCUGAGCAGGGAGGAGGGUCCAUAUAGGAGCUCAGAGGGGAGAUGUGGAGUGGCUUCCUUGGGAAGGCUUGAGACCUAAGAAGAGCCCAAGGAAGGAUUUAGUCCAAUCUAAAUGUAAUCAAGGGAUAGUUUAGUGAGAAUGUUCUUCAAGGUCCGGUUGGUACGUUCCACCUUGCCAGAGGACUGGGGAUGCCAGGGGACAUGAAAAUGCCAGGAGAUGUUGAGUGCCUUAGCUACUGACAUGAAACAUGGCGAGUAAAUUCUGGGCCAUUGAGACUGGAGCGAGGAGGGGAGGCCCAAUUGGCCUGGAUGUGGUGGGGUGCCCGGCAUUCCUGUCCCCUGUGCCCUGCACACCAGGGGGUAGACCCACAGCCUUGGUCUCCAAGGUUGCUCCGGGCAGGGAUGGGCCUUCCACUGUGUCCCACCCCAGGGGCAGUGUCCAGUUGCUCCUCUGCUUGCCACUGGGUCGACUGGGCCCUGAUGUGCUGAAUGUCCCAUAUCCCCGUCACCUCCUCACCCAGCACCUCGCCACAGCCAGACUUCAUUGCUAGUCACAAACUCAGGACUCUGACUGCCUUCUAACCCUUCCUUUGCCAUCUGGCCUUUCAUGGGGAACGUCCCCUUCCAACUCCGCCAGGACAAAAACUUGCAUCUGUCCCUGUAUGCACCAGUUUUCAGAAUAAGUCGGCUCCUAGCACCCUCUGGGGAAAACAGCUUAUUAAUUGAUUAAAAGAAAAAUAAACACAGGAACGAGGAAGGUGAGGUCUGUGGAGCAGGCCAUGGGAUGGAGAGAGCAGGGGCAGUAUCUGGGGUCCCUGCCUCUUUGAAGGUACAAAGGCAGGUACCCUCUGCAAGGAAGUGACGAGCGUGAGACCCCAGUGAAGGGAGGAGGUGGUCCAGAGAGGCUUCCAGAAAAGAGACUGUGCAGAGGUGUGCCGCAGAGCCACCCAGGAGCUCCAGGCUAGCAGGGAGGAAGGGAGUGGAGCAGGAGGGCGGGAGUCAGUGCCGCCCCAGCAGCACCCAGAGCCAGCUCACCCCAGGGAAUUCAAACUGGGAAGUGUCCUUAAGACUGUGCUGCAGGCCUGUUCCAAAGCCCAGGAGGCUGUGAGCAGGCCGUGGGCCAGGUGUGGGCAGGGAGUGGGCAGGGUGUGGGCAGGGCGUGGGCAGGGAGUGGGCAGGGAGUGGGCAGGACGUGGGCAGGGUCUGAGCAGGGCGUGGGCAGGGAGUGGGCAGGGUCUGAGCAGACCCAGAUCUGAGGCUCAUUACUGAAGGCAACUCAGCCACAAAGGAUCGAGCAUGACCCACCUAAAGGCCCUUCACGAGGCCUUUAGGCCAGAGACAGAGACACCACAGGAACUCGCUUUUGUCUCUUGAAGACACACAUGGUACACGUAACAUCGAUACGUGCAUGCAUACAUGCAGGCCAGCACACAUGCGUGGAGUCUGCUCUGCCAGCCCGGAGGGAUGAACAGCAACCCCUGCGUACCAGUGCGGCCUAUUGAUGGUCAUAGGUGUCAGGUCCGUGGUGGCCACCUAGAAGAAAGCAGCCCGCGGGGGAAAGGAACAUCAAUCAGGGGCCGGCGGAAACGCCUGUCAAUCCGCGAGGUCUCCUGACGAACACCUGUCAAUCAGCAGGACUCCCUGGCCAAUCCUGGAGUUCAGCCAACUGCCCUGACCAACUCCAAUGGGACAAGGGACUCUAAGAACACCUUUUCCUGUCCCAAGCCCUUCCCUUACUGCUGUGAGCCCCAUAAAAGUCCAGUCCGGUCAAACUCCCACGCGGUUUCUCCUCAGACCCUCCUCCUGUCCACUCUGUGGGUCUGAUCGAGUUCUGCCCAGGAGUGAUAGCUCAAUAAAAUCUCGUUCAGCAUUCAGCAGCCUUUUUAAAUCU